UAAUGGCUGUGUUGGUGGGGGAAAAAUUGGUACGGUGUAUAGGUAAGAGUGGUGGUGAGGGAGAUGUGGAGUAGAUGUAUUUGUGGGAACUACUAGGUAUGAAAUUGUAUAUCAUGACCAUUACUAUGACAAUAUAAAGUAUGAAUCUAAUGCCUAAAUGAUGUAAAAAAUGAACAGGAAAUAUGUCCAAAAAGUGUACAAAAAAACACCAAAAAUAAUAGAAUAGUUUCUAUUACAGCGAAAGUAAUUGUAAAAUAAAUUGUAGCGCAGAAAUAUUAUAAGAAAUAGUAUUAUAAGACUAAAGAAAACAAAGAAAACUAACUUUUCUGGGUUAAGAAUAGAACGGAAGUGACGUAGCACUUAUGCAUAUUCGGUAAGUUAAUUAUGCGACCAAUUUUAGAACGAACGAACGCUUUGACACAAGCCGAUGCGUUACCAUGAAAUAGAUAAGUUCACGUAAAUGAUGCGAAUUUGCUCGGAAAAUAUGUGUAUCGAUGGAGUAACAUGAAAGACAAAGGAUUCUAACAGCGAUGGCAAAAGGUUAGAGUGUUAAAUGAGGUCGUACGUGUUAUAGGAUCGGAGAUAAUUGCUUGUUUAAACUCGAGUGACCUCGUGCCUGACCCGAUGAGUAAAUUGUUAGUGAAGCAAUUCACAAAGCAGAAACUAGCUUGAAGUUGUGUAUAAGAACAAAAUCGUUCUGCAGAAAAGAAUGUAAAACAGAUCUUAAAUGGUUGUAAUAAACGGAGAAGUUAUUCUGUCAGGUUAUGUUCGGGUGGUUAAGAUUAUGGGUUAUGAGACGACGGGUUAAGGUUGUUAUAAGAGAUGGGGUUGAUAAUGCAAAAACAUGAGAGUUAUGAAUAAAGGGUUUUUUUGUGUUUAGUGGAAAAGGUAGUUAGUAAAUAUGGUAUUAUGUGGAGAUUGAAACAGUUAAAAUCGGUUACUUGUGGCGAGUGUUGUGUAGCGGAUGUGAAGAGGUGAUGGCGGCGUUAGUGAAAUCUGAUGAAGGGGGAUAAUGCGAGUGUGAGCAGAAUGAUGAGCAGGGAUAUUGUGACGAGACUGUGUAGUGUUUUUGAGAAAGUGUGUUGUGUGUAGGGUAGGAAAGUAAUAUGUAGGGUAAGAGAAAGAAAAGUGUUUAGAUUGUAGAGAGGAAAUGGUGAGCGGUAAUGGAGAGGGUGAGGUAUGUGUGGAGGUAUGUAUCUAAUGAAGUGUGUAAGUGGUAUGAUUGACAGGCGAAAUUAAAUAAUAAUAGAGAUUGAAUGAGUGUUGCGAAAACGCCGAGAAAAAAUACAAAAUACUGUAGCGGUGAAAGGAAGUAUUGCGGAAAAUGAUGCUAGUAAAACGGCGAGAAGAAGAUGAAGUAGGGGCGCGGGAGGCGACAAAGGGAGCGCGGUGAGAGUGGAGAUGACGCUGAAACGUUAACAAGACAGGAAGGAUAGUUUUCCCUAGAUGAAGCGAUAAUCGGUGGUGAGAGAUAAGGGGAGAAGGCGAAGGCACGAAGAAAACAACCGGCAUGUAUAUGCAAAAUGGACAUAACAAAAUAAACCAAUAAGACAAAA